CUACGACCAUAUCACGUUGAAAUACCGGUUCCUGUACGAUCACCGAAGUUAAACGUCGUGCCUGGCCAGUACCUGAAUAGGUGACCACUUGGGAAUACCAAGUGCUAUA